rnacentral:rRNA from 1 species
AACGAACGCUGGCGGCGUGGAUAAGACAUGCAAGUCGAACGGGACAUUAUGUGUAGCAAUACAGAUGAUGUUCAGUGGCAUACGGGUGCGCAACACGUGAGCAACCUGCCUUGAAGUGGGGGAUAGCUCGUCGAAAGGCGAAUUAAUACCGCAUGUGGUAGCAAUACUAAAGCCGGGGUAACCUGGCGCUUCUUGAUGGGCUCGCGGCCUAUCAGCUAGUUGGUAAGGUAACGGCUUACCAAGGCUAUGACGGGUAGCUGGUCUGAGAGGACGACCAGCCACACUGGAACUGAGACACGGUCCAGACACCUACGGGUGGCAGCAGUCGAGAAUUUUUCUCAAUGGGGGAAACCCUGAAGGAGCGACGCCGCGUGGAGGAUGAAGGUCUUCGGAUUGUAAACUCCCGUCAUUGGUGAACAAAGCCACGGGUUAACUGCCAAGUGGUUUGCUAGUAGCCGAAGAGGAAGGGACGGCUAACUACGUGCCAGCCGCCGCAGUAAGAC